rnacentral:rRNA from 1 species
GCGAUCAUACCAGCCCUAAUGCACUGGAUCCCAUCAGAACUCCGAAGUUAAGCGUGCUUGUGCUUGUGCUAGAGUAGUACUAGGAUGGGUGACCCCUCGGAAGUCCUCGUGUUGCACCCC